AAUAAGAACCCACGUUGCGUAACAUGGAAUCUACUGAGUGAUAGGGAGGCUGUUCCAGAGUAAUGGGGCUGCAGCUGAGAAGGCUCUGUCACCCAUAGUGGUUUUGGUGGUUGGCUGAGACAGAAGAAGGGAGUUGCUGGAGCGGAGAGAUGUGCUGGGAGUAUGGAGAGUUACAAGAUUCUUCAGAUAUUUGGGAAAGUCAUUUUCGUAAAUGCAGCUGUGUGUGAAGAGGAGAAGUUUGAAAUUGAUUCUGAAGGAUAUGGGGAGCCAGUGAAGUUGUUCGAGGAUGGGAGUGAUGCUGUCAUAUCGUGGAACACGGACAACAACUCGGGCAGCAGAGUUUUGAUUUCUUUGCAGUUUGGAAAGUAGAUGUCCAGGAAUGUUAAAGUAGAUAGAGUUGCAGUAGUCGAGUUUGGAGAUUACAAGACUUGUCAUGAGUAACUGAGAUGUGUUAUAG